rnacentral:misc_RNA from 1 species
GAUGAAGAACUCAGCGAAAUGCGAUAAGUAGUGUGAAUUGCAGAAUUCAGUGAAUCAUCGAAUCUUUGAACGCACAUUGCGCCCCUUGGUAUUCCAUGGGGCAUGCCUGUUCGAGCGUCAUUUGUACCUUCAAGCUUUGCUUGGUGUUGGGUGUUUGUCCAUUCUCUUGCAGAGGGACUCGCCUUAAAGUAAUUGGCAGCCAGUGUUUUGGUUUUGAAGCGCAGCACAAGUCGCGAUUCAAAGCUAUACGCCCGCUUCCACAAGCCUUUUUCACUUUUGACCUCGGAUCAGGUAGGGAUACCCGCUGAACUUAAGCAUAUCAAUAAGCGGAGGA